CCUACGGGUGGCAGCAGUGGGGAAUAUUGGGCAAUGGGCGCAAGCCUGACCCAGCAACGCCGCGUGAAGGAAGAAGGCUUUCGGGUUGUAAACUUCUUUUCUGAGGGACGAAGAAAGUGACGGUACCUCAGGAAUAAGCCACGGCUAACUACGUGCCAGCAGCCGCGGUAAUACGUAGGUGGCAAGCGUUAUCCGGAUUUAUUGGGUGUAAAGGGCGUGUAGGCGGGAAAGCAAGUCAGAUGGGAAAACUCAGGGCUCAACCCUGAGCCUGCAUUUGAAACUGGCAGACUUGAGUUGGCGAGAGGUAAGCGGAAUGCGAGGUGUAGCGGUGAAAUGCAUAGAUAUCGCGAAGAACUCCGAUUGCGAAGGCAGCGUACCGGCGCCAGACUGACGCUGAGGCACGAAAGCGUGGGGAUCGAACAGGAUUAGAUACCCCAGUAGUC
rnacentral:rRNA from 1 species